rnacentral:snoRNA from 1 species
UAAGCAUCUGAGUAUACCUGAGAGCUUUAUUAACGGCAGAAUUUUUGCUAACACCACUAUAUAGCUUGACCCAGUGACUGUAGGUUAGAAGCAGUCAUUGCCACAAUU